CAAAAUGGAGCUCGUUAACUCGGACUAGGUUGAUCUAUUAAAGGUUCUGAACCAAUAUGACCGUUUUUUCUUACUAACCAUUUUUUUUUUCAAAAUUCUUAAAAGAUGGUACAAGUAAAUUGGUACACUCCUAAAAGGGUAUUGAGGGCAAAGGAAGUAGUAUAAAUAAGGACAUUGAGCGUUCCAAUCUCUCACCCCGUCAAUAAAAAUAAUAAAAAUAAAAUAAAUCUAUGGAGAAUCAUUCAAUUUCUGUAAUCUCUAAGUUGGCUUUGCUCUUAGUAUUUCUGGUGCUGAUUAUGUGAGCAGUACCCAGUCAAGCGUGUGGGGCUUCUGAUGUAAGCGGCUGCGUUUUAAAUAAUGAGUGUUGUUCUGGUUACUGCAAGUGGGUUUUCCCAGGAAUUGGAUAUUGCCAUUAGAAGUAACCGAUGACAAAAGAGAAAAGGAACUACGAAGUAUUAUUUUACGCGUGAUUACUCGUUUUAUGAUGUGUGUGAUACUAGUUUAUGUCAAAAAAAAAAAAAAAAAAAAUGCGUAGAGCUACCCAUAAGCUAACUACGAUAGUAAAAGUUACUUAGCUUUACUCCCAAUAUCCUGUCAAAUUCGAGCAUGGGAAUUAAUUGAACAAUAGUAGGAACAUAUGGAAUGAAGGUGCAAUGAGUCCAUUCUAAACAAUUCCAUGUUCAAAGUGACAAACAAUCUCAAUAUAUUUCGUACAUGAAGUCAUUAUAAAUUUUGGAUUCUUUAUAA